UACGAACCGUGCGAGCGUUAAUCGGAUUCAUUGGGCUUAAAGGGCGCGUAGGCGGCGGCGUAAGUUCGUGGUGAAAUCCCAUCGGCUCAACCGUGGAAUUGCUUCGAAUACUGCGUCGCUCGAGGGAGAUAGGGGACCGCAGAACUGCCGGUGGAGCGGUGAAAUGUGUUGAUAUCGGCGGGAAUGCCAGUGCCGAAAGGGGCGGUCUGGACCUCUUCUGACGCUAAGGCGCGAAAGCUAGGGGAGCGAACGGG
rnacentral:rRNA from 1 species